rnacentral:sRNA from 1 species
UGCCUUGAUUCAUAGAUAUAUCUACACAGUGGGUUCACUAUUCUAUGAUGCUCCUUCAAAUUCUCAUUGGUACCUGACUUAUGGCACCUUAUAGUCCAAGAAUAAAAAUUUGAAUUCAGACGUUUUAAAGGAAAAUGGGAUUUAAUUUAUGUUUGAGAAAUGUAAAAGAGGAGAUCUGGGUUUCUUUUUCAUCAUCAUCUUGUUUGUGGAAAUAGAACAUUAUGUAUCCAGCUCAUUUCAUCAGCAGUCUACAGAACAAAGGGAACGAUUAUGAUGAUAAUAAUAUAGAUUGGAGAAGGAGGGGGGAAAGCCAUAAUUGGAAACCUUCCUGUCUUUUAAAUGCAACUAACUUUGAGCCUAAAGUAGUUAUUUUUGGAGAAUACCAGAGUAUUUCUUCCAAAAAGAAUGUUCUGAAGUCAACAGGACUGAUUCCAUCCUUGGGACCUGGGAAUUGCUUGAUGCAAGUCAUCAUUUUCCAAAAAUCUACUUUUACCCACCACCUAUGGGAGGUUUAGAAUGAACAACUGGAAGAAAUAUCACAGAAGAAAUGCAAGAAUACCGAAAGCUGACUCAGCAACUUGGAAUUCCUACUGAAAAUAUUGAAAAUGUCUAUGGAAUCGGUAAAUUAGUUCCCGUAAAAAUGAA